GCACGGGGUGGGGAGGAGGAGGAGCGGGCACAGGGCAACACCUGGCAGCGCCGGACACCUCCGGGGAGAGGGGACAUUGAGGCACCGGGCAGGAAUGACCUUCUGUGGCCAACACAAAUCUUUUUGAGAACUCAGUGACAAGAGCUCUAAGCCUGAAAUAAAUCAGGGUGUUCACUCAAACAGCACGGACAGAAGAACAGCAGCAAGCGGGGUUUCAGUCCCCCAUUCCUCCAGAACUUUGAUGGAAUACUGCUCUGGAUGAAGUGGUUUCCUCCUGGAAACUGGAAUCCUUUGGCAUUCUCAACACAGCUGAAUCCAAACUACGACGUGGCCUGGAAAGGGUCGAGCCACAGAACUCUCAGGUGUGGCCUGGGAUUUUCCCCAGGACCUCCAGUGAUGACCCAGGGAUUUAUGCUGGGUUAAAAUGCCAUCUCCAGCAUGUUUUGUCCUUGGGAAGGCUUCAGGGGUCAAUCUCCUGCAGGAUGCAGGCCCUGUGGUGAUUUGCCAUUAGAAUGCACCUGGUUGGGGCUCCCAGGUACUGAUGUCCCUUUUCCUCCUCAUUUCCCAGGGCUUCUCCCUUCUCUUUGUCUCUCAGGCUGAAUGAGCCCUCAGCUGAGCUUGGGAAACUUGUGGCAUGUCUGGAAGCACCAGGGUCCCAGCUCCUGGGUGACUUUUAAAUCCUGGCAGUCCUUCCCCUGGAGCAGUGUGGAGAGCCCAGCUCUGGGGUGCUGGGGACACUGGGGGCAGUGGGGAGAGAGGGGUGACGGUGAUGGAGGUCACGGUGACUUGUCCAGGGAGCACAGGAUGAUGCUGUGGGGUCAGGGCUGGGUUUGUUUGAUAAAAUAAGGGAGGAAAUUGGGGAAUUUCCAAGGUAGUCUGGAAAGGAAAAGGCAAAGAAAUCAGAGGGUCAGUCCUGCUCCUGUGAGCACAGGAUGAGAAUCCACAGGAGAGGGCUGCAGGACCUCACACUGAUCCCAGGCUGAUCCCAGACCUUAUCCCAUCUCCUCCAAAAAGCAAGGAUUUGCAGCUUGGUGCAAGCCCUGGGAGCUGGAGGGUGUGAGGUGAGGAAGACCCCCCCAGUUACACUGGCAGGGCUCCAACCCACGACCCCAAAGUGAGCUUUAAAAUUUGCUAAUCUCAAAA